AGAUUGAACGCUUAGCGGCAUGCCUAACACAUGCAAGUCGAACGGGUAACAGGCCCUUCGGGGUGCUGACGAGUGGCGGACGGGUAGAGUAAUGUCGUAGGAAUCUACCCACGAGUGGGGGAUAGCCCGGAGAAAUCCGGAUUAAUACCGCAUAUGCCUACGGGUAAAGCGGGGGAUCGUAAGACCUCGCGCUGGUGGAUGAGCCUACGUCCGAUUAGUUAGUUGGUGGGGUAAAGGCCGUACCAAGGCUACGAUCGGUACGCUGGUCUGAGAGGCGAAUUCAGCCGACACUGGGACUGAGACACGGACCCAGACUCCUACGGGAGGCAGC
rnacentral:rRNA from 1 species